rnacentral:rRNA from 1 species
UACGGGGGGGGCAAGCGUUGUUCGGAAUUACUGGGCGUAAAGGGCUCGUAGGCGGCCAACUAAGUCAGACGUGAAAUCCCUCGGCUUAACCGGGGAACUGCGUCUGAUACUGGAUGGCUCGAGAUUGGGAGAGGGAUGCGGAAUUCCAGGUGUAGCGGUGAAAUGUGUAGAUAUCAGGAGGAACACCGGUGGCGAAGGCGGAUCUCUGGGCCUUACCUGACGCUGAGGCGCGAAAGCUAGGGGAGCGAACAGG